rnacentral:tRNA from 1 species
UGGGAUAUAGCUCAGUUGGUAUAGUACUUGCCUUGCAUGCAUAAGGUCCUGGGUUCAAUCCCCAGAACCACAC